rnacentral:rRNA from 1 species
AUUGAACGCUGGCGGCAGGCCUAACACAUGCAAGUCGAGCGAGCGGCGGACGGGGGAGUAAUGUCUGGGAAACUGCCGGAUGGAGGGGGAUAACUACUGGAAACGGUAGCUAAUACCGCAUAACAUCAGAUUUGGCGAGAUGGGAUUAGCUGGUAGGUGGGGUAACGGCUCACCUAGGCGACGCUCCCUAGCUGUUCUGAGAGGAUGCACCGCCACACUGGAACUGAGACACGGUCCAGACUCCUACGUGAGGCAGCAGUGGGGAAUAUUGCACAAUGGGCGCAAGCCUGAUGCAGCCAUGCCGCGUGUGUGAAGAAGGCCUUCGGGUUGUAAAGCACUUUCAGCGGGGAGGCGUUACCCGCAGAAGAAGCACCGGCUAACUCCGUGCCAGCAGCCGCGGUAAUUC